UACGGGGGGGGCAAGCGUUGUUCGGAAUUACUGGGCGUAAAGCGCACGUAGGCGGACUGUUAAGUCGGGGGUGAAAUCCUGGGGCUCAACCUCAGAAUUGCCUCCGAUACUGGCAGUCUCGAGUGCGGGAGAGGUGAGUGGAAUUCCCAGUGUAGAGGUGAAAUUCGUAGAUAUUGGGAAGAACACCAGUGGCGAAGGCGGCUCACUGGCCCGUAACUGACGCUGAGGUGCGAAAGCGUGGGGAGCAAACAGGG
rnacentral:rRNA from 1 species